rnacentral:rRNA from 1 species
UACGUAGGGGGCAAGCGUUAUCCGGAUUUACUGGGUGUAAAGGGAGCGUAGACGGCAGGGCAAGUCUGGAGUGAAAGGCAGGGGCCCAACCCCUGGACUGCUCUGGAAACUGUCCGGCUGGAGUGCAGGAGAGGUAAGUGGAAUUCCAUGUGUAGCGGUGAAAUGCGUAGAUAUAUGGAGGAACACCGGUGGCGAAAGCGGCUCUCUGGCCUGUAACUGACACUGAGGCUCGAAAGCGUGGGGAGCAAACAGG